rnacentral:tRNA from 1 species
GCUACUGUGGUGUAGUGGUUUGAUUAUUAGAUUAGGACUCUGGAGACCAGGGUUCAAACCCCUGCUCAGCC